UACAGAGGGUGCAAGCGUUGUUCGGAAUUACUGGGCGUAAAGCGCGUGUAGGCGGCUUGGCAAGUCGGGUGUGAAAGCCCUGGGCUCAACCUAGGAAGUGCACUCGAAACUGCUUUGCUUGAGUGCCGGAGAGGAAAGCGGAAUUCUCGGUGUAGCGGUGAAAUGCGUAGAUAUCUGGAGGAACACCGGUGGCGAAGGCGGCAUCCUGGACCAACACUGACGCUGAGGAGCGAAAGCCAGGGGAGCAAACGGG
rnacentral:rRNA from 1 species